CAGUAACUCUGAACAUUAUUAGCUAAGCCGAUGAUCAGCUCAGAGCUUCGUCGUUGAUAACGCAGUCGGUCGGUCGCUCCGCAUCAGCUCUCGACCUUCAGGGUGAAAUUUAGCAGAAAAGGACAGGAGAAAAAGGGGGAAAAGAUGAAGUUUAUAAUGGAAUUUGCUGAGAACUUGGUGCUGAGGAUGAUGGAGGAUCCAAAGGAAAGGGAUAGGAAGUUCAGGGAGCACUUGUACCAUUUGAAAGACAGGUGUAGCAAGACCAAGGAAAUGUGGAGCCUCCCUCUUCGUCCUUAUGGGUUUUGGACCUUCGAACGCCACAAUUCCCAGAUUUUCUGGGAUGCUCAGAUCAGCCAAGUUCCUGGCCGCCGUGAUCCUUAUGAUGACCUCCUCCAGGGUGCCUACAAUGCGGAUCCUACCUCCACCCAGAAAUAGGUGAGGGUAAACAUCAUGGGAAGUACGAAAGAGACAAAUUGAUCAAGAGCUUUGUUGAUUCUUGAUGCUUCUGUAGCGUCAACCAUAUUCAGACUUGUCAAUACUUUCCCAACUGCUUUAACUCCAAUUAAGGAUGUUCAAAUUGUAAUGUUGUUACUUCACAAGCUUGCUGUGUUUCCUUUUAAGUUUGCUGAUGACUGUCAAGUUGGACUUGUCAAGGCAACCAUGCCCCGAUGUGCUGCCGUGUUGCUACUAAUUAUUUGGUCGAACACUUGCCUGAAUUCUGCAGAUGGUAAAUUGCAAAGGCACACUUUCGGGCAUUACGGUCUGCCUCCAGAGAUUCAGAUGGUCACGCACCAAUUCUAAUCUCUGUUAGCAUUUUAGUUCUAGAGAAAAGCAAUAAUCCAGUCUAUUGGCAUCCAAAUACUUCUAUCAGAAUAUUUGAGGGUGUGGAAUGUUGAUCCAAAAUGUAUGCAAAUGACGUCCGGGGUAUGGGCAUUUUGA